rnacentral:rRNA from 1 species
UACGUAGGUGGUAAGCGUUAUCCGGAUUUAUUGGGCGUAAAGAGAACGCAGGCGGUCUUUUAAGUCUGAUGUGAAAGCCUUCGGCUUAACCGGAGUAGUGCAUUGGAAACUGGGAGACCUGAGUGCAGAAGAGGAGAGUGGAACUCCAUGUGUAGCGGUGAAAUGCGUAGAUAUAUGGAAGAACACCAGUGGCGAAAGCGGCUCUCUGGUCUGUAACUGACGCUGAGGUUCGAAAGCGUGGGUAGCAAACAGG